CAGGCUCCAAGAAAGAGAAGGACCAAUUCGCCUUUCCUCUGUUUCUGUUCUAUCCGGCCCCGCAGAUUUGAUGGUGGGUGUCCCCCACUCAGUGCACUCAGACUCGCGCCAGUCUCCUCCGGAAACGCCCUCACAGAACAGCCCAAAUCACGGUUGAGCAGCUCUCUGGGUAUUUCCUAAUCCAGGCAAGCUGACACGCAGUCUCAACCAUCGCAGCUGGGAGGCCUGGCGGGUGCAGCCGCUGAGGGGAGCAGGGAGUGAAGGGACUCAGCGACCCCUGCACCCACCAGCGCCUGCAAACCCCCUUCAGAGCACACUGCCUGGUGACACGGUGCUGCCUGAUAGUGAAGAAUUUUUCAAAGGUUUAUAACGGCAGGUUUGACCUAAAGGAGUGUUUGCUGCAGAGAAAAUGCCACAGUGCGGAAUAGACUGUUCAAAACUGGCGUGAACAUGGACGAGGUCUGGGGAAUGACCACUCAAGGCCCAGGGAGGCUGCGCCUGGCUGAGGGAGGGCACUGGGCAGCACGCGGGCACCCGGGAUCCCAGAGCACAAGGCUCCGCAGAGCGGGCUGUCUGUUGGGAACAAACCAACCACUUCUGUGGAAGGAGCGGUGUGGCUGGCAGGUUGUUGGCACAGCAGCAGAAGAGGUAACAACGUUUAACUGGACACGUGGCGUUGCAAAAUCACUGAUCAACACGCCCUUGCUCUGAAAGCGGGGAAAGGCCAAGGCUGAUUUAACCUGCCAAGAUGCUGUUCUUUUGCCUCCGAGUCUCCUCUUGGGCGAGCUGGGCUGGGCCUGGGGUAGGACCCCCCUAAAGGGCCCCUGGAGAAUACAUGAAGGUUCUGGAAGCAGGGGUGCGGGACACCUGGAGAAACACGAGAAGUCAUCAAAAACCCAAGGGCUGCGAGCCCCUGCCUUAACCUCCUUCCACAGGCUGUGGCAGUGCCUGCAUGCUGGAGAGCCGGAGACUGGGGCCUCUGAGUUUCGGACAUCACCUGGCUGUCUUCUAUGGAGUGUCACUUGCCAGGCUGCAAACCCGGAAACCCCAGCCAGCCUGGGUUGUCAGCGGCAGUGCGAAAAUGAAGUUUUGGAGCAUUUUCAGAUGAGCAGGGUCUUGCUCUGGCACCCAGGCUAGAGUGCAGUGGCAUC